rnacentral:rRNA from 2 species
AACGCGAAGAACCUUACCUGGGCUUGACAUCCUGUGAACAUCUAAGAGAUUAGGUUUCCGAGCAAUCGGACACAGAGACAGGUGCUGCAUGGCUGUCGUCAGCUCGUGCCGUGAGGUGUUGGGUUAAGUCCCGCAACGAGCGCAACCCUUGUCGUGUGUUGGUCCACAAGAUCUCUCACACGAGACCGCCGGUGACAAGCCGGAGGAAGGUGGGGAUGACGUCAAGUCAGCAUGGCCCUUACGUCCAGGGCUACACACGUGCUACAAUGCGCCGGACAGCGAGUCGCGAACCCGCGAGGGCAAGCUAAUCUCUUAAACCGGCGCUCAGUUCGGAUUGAAGGCUGCAACUCGCCUUCAUGAAGUCGGAAUCGCUAGUAACCGCAGAUCAGCUACGCUGCGGUGAAUACGUUCCCGGGCCUUGUA